rnacentral:lncRNA from 1 species
UUAAACUUAAACAACAACAACAACAAAAGAGAGAAGAAAUUGGCAGGUUAUGUGUUACUGGGUCAAGUAAAGGGCAAGGUUUUUAUUAUACAAACAAUGGUCAAAAGACUAUUCAAACAUUUAGUGGUUUGAAAAAAUUCAAUGACAAAUGUAUAUUAACAUAUGGAGAAAUAAACAUCCCAUGGCUUUUGAAAGGGAACUGGCCUAUAAUAGACAAUUUCAAAUAUUUACAAUUUAAAGAUCAAGACUUUUUCACAGACAUAACAUUAGCAGGGGAAAAACAAAUAAAAGGACGUGUGGUGCAGAAUUACAGAAAGAAAACAAGGGGAAAAUAGCUGAUAUUUAAAGGAAAUUUGUUAAAUGUAUAGAAGGAGAAAAUGAAAGGUAUAGAAGGGAUAGGAAAAUACAUUUAAAAGAUGUGGAAAGGAAAGUUGGCACAGAUACACAGCACCACAAAUUGAGUACCAUUCAAACAUUCUCUCUCUCUCUCUCACACACACACACACACACAGAGGAAAACAGCACAUUUGGCACAGUCCUCUGAAUUGUACUGUGCACAUCUACCACACAGCAUUGAAGUUCGCCAAUGAAAUCACCUCAUUUUCCUCUUUUCAAAGGUCAUAUACUCAAAAAAGACCUAAACCUAGAGACUCGGCUCACAUUUCCCAUGAAAGGCUCAAUCAGGAGUGUCAAACUUGUUCCCUAGAGGGUCACAGCCCAAAAGAGUUUAGCUCCAACUCUACCAGCUUAAAGUUCUUUUAGAUCACUUAAACUAAAGAUUGGGGUGUUGGAGCAGGUUGGAGCUAAGCUCGGCAAAACUGUGGUGAUCCAGGAACGGAGUUUGACACCCUGGGCUAAAUCCUAACAUUUCUAGAACUGUAAAGUUAUUUACCAUGAAUACUAAGAAGCACUGCUUUGUGUCACAUGCUCUGUGCACCGUAAUGUACAUCCCCCACCCCCUGAAAGUAGUCAUAUCACCCAACACAUUAAAAAAACGAUUUACAGUGAACACUUUAAAUAAAACUCUUAAAACCGCCAUAUCUCCAGUCACCAUGUCUCUUGUCAGUGAAAAACACAGGGACAGUGUUUAUGCCGCUAAAACACCUCUUGUUAAAGGCUUAGGAAAAGACAUUCACAGAGGAAGGACACACAACUCUGCCUCUGAUCGUGUGAAAAAGAUCAAGUGUCACAUGACCAUUUGGCCAUCACAUUGA